UGGGGAAUUUUGCACAAUGGGGGCAACCCUGAUGCAGCGACGCCGCGUGAUUUAGAAGGCCUUCGGGUUGUAAAAAUCUUUUGUAUAGGAAGAAAAUGACAGUACUAUACGAAUAAGGUCCGGCUAAUUACGUGCCAGCAGCCGCGGUAAUACGUAAGGACCGAGCGUUGUCCGGAAUCAUUGGGCGUAAAGGGUACGUAGGCGGUUAAAAAAGUUAGAAGUGAAAGGCUAUAGCUCAACUAUAGUAAGCUUUUAAAACUGUUUAACUUGAGAGAUGGAAGGGAAAGUGGAAUUCCUGGUGUAGCGGUGAAAUGCGCAGAUAUUAGGAGGAAUACCGGUGGCGAAGGCGACUUUCUGGCCAUUAUCUGACGCUGAGGUACGAAAGCGUGGGUAGCAAACAGG
rnacentral:rRNA from 1 species